AAUUCUUCCAGACCUGGUGUUCGCCAAGGCAUCCGAGACACAGGAGAGCCUUGGAUUCAUUGUGCUCGAGGAGACAACCACGCCCGAGAGGAUGUGCGCGAAAAUCGCCAACCAGUGGACGCGCAUCCUCAUGAGCCAGACAACCGAUCCCACUUGGCUUGGAUCAGCUGGCGUCACCUACCUGUGCCGCCUGGCGGUGACGGAGGAGAGGGAUCUGCCAGCCGCGUUCCUGGGUGACCUGAAGGAAUGCAAGAAG